rnacentral:rRNA from 1 species
AUGGGAAGGCGCCGCCGGUUCACUUUGCAGUACACCAGCGACGACGACGACGACAAUGCUGCACCCGAGGCGCCCAAAUUCACAGUCCCCGACUCCUCGCGCCACAAGAAGCAGCAGCGCCGCUACCACGACGACGAUGACGACGAGGCGGACCUGGAGCUCGCGAAGGAGGAAGAGCAAGAGAUGAGGAGCAACGAGGAGGAGGAGACGCAGGCCCGCAAGCCCGCGCGCCCUGCUGAGAACAGCGACGGGGAGCUGGGCCACAAGGCGGAAGCGGAUGAGGAGGGGGACGACGGAAAUGGUUCGGAUGCGGUGCCCUUGGGCAAUCCCGUGGAGGUUCCUGGCGAGGGGAAGCACUACUCCUCCUUCGAAUACGAGGGCAACAUCUACAAGCUCGAGGAUUCGGCGAUGUUCUCGCCUGAUCUGGAGACCGACAAGCCCUAUGUCGGCAUCAUCAAGGGUAUAAUUGAAAUUGAUGGGAGCUUAUCCGUAAGUGCUCAGUGGUUUUAUAGACCAGAAGAAGCCGAGAAAGAGGGUGGUGACCUAAGGGAGUUAUUUUAUAGUUUUCAUAUUGAUGAAGUGCCAGCAGAGUUAGUUAUGCACAUGUGUGUGGUCCAUUUCAUUCCUGAGCACAAGCAGGUGCCAAGUAAAAAGGAACACCCUGGAUUCAUUGUCCAACAGGUGUAUGACCACAGAGAGGAGAAGAUGUAUAAAAUAACGAAUAAGGACUAUGAGGAUGACAAGCAGCAUCAGAUUGAUCUCCUUAUUAUGAAAACAAUAGACCGUAUUGGGAGGCUUCCAGAUCGUGAUCCUGAAGAUAUACCUGGUGACAACACUGAUAAAUUAUCAAGACGAGGCUUGCGGAAGAGACCUCUGAAGCCUAAAGAUGUUCCAAGAGAUGCUUCAACAGGCAUAUCUGAGCAAUUCAGAAAAGAAGAUACACCCGUGAAUGAUAAUCUGAAGUAUUUUGCCAUCCUUGUCAGAUAUGAAGUGAUUACUGGUAACCAGUAUCGUGAUUGGUGGCUUGAUAAAUUUGUAGACACUAUUCUGGCACUCCCUCAUUCAAGAAAUGAUAAUGAAAAUUCUUAUGCACCUAAUGAGGUUGUUCCAAUAGUAGCCUCCUUACAAAGAUCAACGUUUGAAGCUCUUCAUGCAGACUAUCAUAAGUAUAACCAGAAAAUGAGAACAUUAUUGUUCAAUAUCAAGAAAGCUGACAAGCGAACUAAGCUGGGUUGA